rnacentral:rRNA from 1 species
GAAGGUAGCGUAAUCACUUGUUCUUUAAAUGAGGACUAGUAUGAAUGGCACCACGAGGGUUCAACUGUCUCCUUUUUUUGAUCAGUGAAACUAAUCUCCCCGUGAAAAAGCGGGAAUUUACUUAUAAGACGAGAAGACCCUAUGAGCUUUAAACAAAUUAACAUACGCUAUUACUUUAUUAUCUUAAGAGUUACAACAAAUAAUAUAGCAAUCUGAUUAAAAGUUUUCGAUUGGGGUGAUCACGGAGUAAAAAACAACCUCCACGUCGAACGGAUUAAAAUCCUGAACAAAAAGCUACAGCUUUAUGCACUAAUACAUUAACGCCUUUGACCCAUUUUUUGAUCAACGAACCAAGUUACCCUAGGGAUAACAGCGCAAUCUGCUUCGAGAGCCCCUAUCGACAAGCGGGUUUACGACCUCGAUGUUGGAUCAGGGUAUCC